GAAAUAGCUUUAGGGCUAGCCUCAAGUGAUGAUUAUUGGAGGUAGAGCACUGUUUGGACGAGGGGCCCCUCUCGGGUUACCGAAUUCAGACAAACUCCGAAUGCCAAUUAAUUUAACUUGGGAGUCAGAACAUGGGUGAUAAGGUCCGUGUUCGAAAGGGAAACAGCCCAGACCACCAGCUAAGGUCCCAAAAUAUAUGUUAAGUGGAAAAGGAUGUGGCGUUGCCCAGACAACUAGGAUGUUGGCUUAGAAGCAGCCAUCAUUUAAAGAGUGCGUAAUAGCUCACUAGUCGAGUGACACUGCGCCGAAAAUGUACCGGGGCUAAACAUAUUACCGAAGCUGUGGAUUGUCCUUUGGACAAUGGUAGGAGAGCGUUCUAAGGGCGUUGAAGCAUGAUCGUAAGGACAUGUGGAGCGCUUAGAAGUGAGAAUGCCGGUGU
rnacentral:rRNA from 1 species